rnacentral:snRNA from 1 species
GUUACAAGUCAGCACAUAUACUAAAACUGGAAUGAUACAGAGAAGAUCAACAUGUCUCCUGCACAAGGCUGACACACAAAUUCAUGAAGCGGUCCAUACUUUU